UAAGGAAUAUUGGUCAAUGGACGCAAGUCUGAACCAGCCAUACCGCGUGAAGGAUGAAGGUCCUCUGGAUUGUAAACUUCUUUUAUCUGGGACGAAAACGGGAUUUUUAUCUCAAUUGACGGUACCAGAGGAAUAAGCACCGGCUAACUCCGUGCCAGCAGCCGCGGUAAUACGGAGGGUGCGAGCGUUAUCCGGAUUUACUGGGUUUAAAGGGUGCGUAGGUGGGCUUAUAAGUCAGUGGUGAAAUCUCCGAGCUUAACUUGGAAACUGCCGUUGAUACUAUAGGUCUUGAAUUAUCUGGAGGUAAGCGGAAUAUGUCAUGUAGCGGUGAAAUGCUUAGAUAUGACAUAGAACACCAAUUGCGAAGGCAGCUUACUACAUAUAAAUUGACGCUGAGGCACGAAAGCGUGGGGAUCAAAC
rnacentral:rRNA from 1 species